AGCUCAAAUUUGAAAUCUGGCUCUUUCAGGGUCCGAGUUGUAAUUUAGAGAAGCGUUAUCCGCGCUAGACCGUACACAAGUCUCCUGGAAUGGAGCGUCAUAGAGGGUGAGAAUCCCGUCUUUGGUACGGACUGCUAGGGCAUUGUGAUACGCUCUC
rnacentral:rRNA from 1 species